UACGUAGGGUGCAAGCGUUGUCCGGAAUUAUUGGGCGUAAAGAGCUCGUAGGCGGUUUGUCGCGUCGUCUGUGAAAUCCCGAGGCUCAACCUCGGGCCUGCAGUCGAUACGGGCAAACUAGAGUGCGGUAGGGGAGACUGGAAUUCCUGGUGUAGCGGUGAAAUGCGCAGAUAUCAGGAGGAACACCGGCGGCGAAGGCAGAUCUCUGGGCCGUAACUGACGCUGAGGAGCGAAAGCAUGGGGAGCGAACAGG
rnacentral:rRNA from 1 species